UAAAGGGAGAGGGGGAAAGGCUUGGGGGAACAGACACUCCGGAAGGCCUUGUUUCUGCCUCUGGGCUGCUGAAAGGCAAGCAAGGAGAAGGCUCUCCAGAGGGGUACAGCUAGCACUAAGAGAUGCAGGGAGCAACAAGGCCCAGUCACCAUUCAUACCAGAACUUGGGACAGACCCUGCCAAGGAGAAGCUCCCCACCAUGCAGCCAGUCUUGGAGGUGGAUUCUUAACAAGUAAUGAUUGUCGCCCAGCUGGCAGAGUGAAGAGAAGUCUCCACCUCCACCAUGGUCUCAGACAAUGAAAGGUAGCCAAAAAUCUCCACUCAGUACGUUGGUCCUCAAGUAACCACUAAAACUCUUACGGAACAAGCAGUUCACUGCCCUUCAGCUGCUUCUCCACUCUUCCUGGGUUUACCUACAUUUACUGUAAGUCCCAAGAAAUGGUAUGAGGACUACAGCUAAGAAAUUGUAUUAAGUGAUACAGUGUCAUUCAAUACCAACAGAUACUUGUUAAAUAUUUCCUGUGUACAGAGAUACUUUGCUGCUCCCUAGGGAUAAAAAGAUGAAAAACCCCACCAUCCCUGUCUUCAAAGUGCUUUCAUUUCACAUACUAAGAUGUGUGAGUGUCUUUGUUCUAGGGCCCCAGGCACCUGUGAGCAAAUGAGAGAAAGAAAUCAAAUACGUGAAAAAGAAAUAAAAACACAUAUAACUCCCCAA